UACGUGGGGUGCAAGCAUUAUCCGGAUUUACUGGGCGUAAAGCGUACCGUCGGUGGUUAUGUAAGUCUUUUGUUUAAGCCUGGGGCUCAACUCCAGAAAAGCAGGGGAAACUACAUGACUUGAGUCUGUUCGGGGAACUUGGAAUUCUCGGUGGAGGGGUGAAAUCCGUAGAUAUCGAGAGGAACACCAUACGCGAAGGCAGAGUUCUAGGACACGACUGACACUCAGGGACGACAGCUCGGGGAGCAAAUGGG
rnacentral:rRNA from 1 species